CCCGGCUCCCCCCUAAUUAGUUUCCCAACUAAGAAAACUAAUUCAGAACUCAGAAGCUCCAUAUACAAAAAAAAAAAUCCUUCAAGGUUGCAGAUCACUUACCAGUAGGUUGCAAUUUGCAGAUAUAAUUCUUUUCCACCCAGAUGGAAAGCGAGGUAGAUUGUACAAAAGUGGAAUUUGGAAAUUGGUAAGUUACGGAGAGAUGGAAAUUGGAGAGAUGGAACGCUGGAUGGUAAGUUACUUAAAUGUUGCAGAGACUGUUUGUUUUGAAUUUUGAAAUUGGAAGUUUGGAUUGGAACACUGCAACUGGAAGGACUUCGAGAAAGAGAGGCGCUAGAAGACGCUAGGUUUUUUACUUUUUUGUGCUGUUCUUGGCUUCCUGUAGUGCAGUAUAUAUAUUCCUUUUAAACACGUAAAACAGGUUCAAAA
rnacentral:lncRNA from 1 species